rnacentral:lncRNA from 1 species
UUUUAAAUAAAAACAAUCAAGAAAACACAGAAUCUCAAGCCAAGAAGUUGUCGAGGCGAAAACCUUUGGGUGAUUCUGACAUUAUAACUAAAUUUAAUAACGUCUAAACAGAUACAAUCCUGUUUAAAUUCAAGUUUAAUUCUGGAUGGAGGUCGAUCAUAAUUGGAUUUUGGAACUGAAUAAUAUGCGUUUCACAUUUUGGAUGACGAUGAUGUUUGAGCCUCACUCAACUUAUUAUAACCUAGUCUUUGGGGCACUGAAGGUUCCCGUGGAUUAAUAUAUGAAUUCAACAAAACAAGCUCACUAUUUGGAUCCUAUACUUUAAUACAAGUGACAAAUGGGUGGCAUGUUGAACUCUUAUAUUUUAUAUUUAAUAAUAAUUAUAUUUAUGUAUCCUCUAUAAUCAAUUAAUUCAUGUUGCGAGAAUACCUUGUCCCGAAUAUCGGCUAAAUGUCUGAAUUGUUGAUGAACCUUUGUCACUCCAACUCUACUCUUGAAUUAAUAUCCAGCUCAAGCCCUUGUAAACGAUUCUUUUCCAAGAGACUAAUUCAUUUGGGGAUAUAACUCUAAAACUGGAGUCCGACUCAUAAAAGAAUGAUUAAACUAUCUCAAGAGUAAUUUUUAUAAGUAUAUCUGUCGUAUUGGUACAAUCCAAAUUUGUAUCAAUGACUCGAUUCAAUCGGUGGAAAUGUAUAAGUUGCUCCCUACGACAUUUAUUCAAAUACUUUCCAUCACCAAUGAAAAGCCCAAUGGUCUUAUUAGAAGAACGAAUGAUACGGGCAAUUGUUACAUUCGGAUGACUAGAAGUAGAAUGAUGUGUGUAUGUUCAUUAUAUAGUUUGAUAAUUCAUGAAUUUAAAAUAAAAGUUGUCGAAAUAUGA